CUAUGCCACAGGUCCUGGAACACGGUGUCCAGGGAGUUGCCUGCACCAGGCACUUUUUCUUCAACACUAAUGGAUCCAAAAGUGAGAAGCUGUGAGGUUUACGUAGGAGACAGAGGACCAGUUCCGUUGAUCAUCUGUCAUUCAUUGAGGUGACAUUCUGCCAGUGAGCCUUACCUAUUGCUGGUAUAAAACACAAUUCAUCAGCCUUUCCUUUGCCUCCAAGAGAGAAAAACCCGUAGUAGAGCUAAAGUAGGGAAAAAAAGUAUUUUCAAGUAGAUGGUGGAUUUACUUUAAAUAUUCUUUCCCACAAAUGUCCUGUCAAAUUAAUUAACUUUUGAUUCCUCCCACUGUCUGAUAGCCAGCAACUGCCCUGUGUCCACUGCUGAUGGCAAAAGUAAACCUCUUUUGAGAGUUCCUUUCACUCCAAAAUCUGAGUAGCUGUUUGGGAAAGAACAUGGCGGGAUUUACAAAUCCUCUUGUGCUAGAUCCAAAAAUUGGCUCCCAAUAAGGGAGGCUAGUAGUUAUACUGAGCUUAAUGGGUCAUUUUCUAAGAGUAUUUGCAUGAGUAAGUGUUAAACUGAAUCCAAGGUUUAAAGGGCAAAGAUGUAUCUCUAAGAAAGAGUUUUAUCAGCAGUAGGAAGCCGGGAUCUAGCUUGAAUUUACUGUUUUCCAUAUUCUGUUUCAGAAUUUAUGGGGGAGAUUCCUCUUCUUUUUUAAGAAAAGGAAGUCCUAAGUAAUUCUUGAUAGGUUUAUUUUUUUGAGGCAUGGGGGAAGAUUAAGUCAGCAUCGAGUGUGAAAGGCUCUCUUUGAGAUAGCUAUAUUCUAUCUGCUUUUUUGAAAAGCUGCAUCUAAAACAUAACAGUUCAGAUGUUAGCGUUAAAUCUUUCCAUGCUGCUGAUUUCAGCAGAAAUGCAGAUUGUGAUAUAGUUAUUCAUCACGGAUGACUGGAUCCAUAGUUAAGUUGGGGCACACACAGCACUUGGCUGCCAGCACAAUGUAAGGCUUGGGAGCUGCUCUCAACAAGCAGCUCUGACAGUCCACAGAGCGAGAGUGACAAACAAGAUCCAGCUCCUCAUCAGGUGCCAGUAUCACCACUGAGCUUGCAGAAAACAAGUAAUAUAUAUACAUAUAUAGCCUAUACUUUUUGUGGGCACAUGAAGGCCACCUCUCAGUUUCUCUCUGUUCCCCUGAACUGCAGGGUUCAACUGAUGUAGAAACCACCUCCAGCACAGACACUAAGGGAAAGCUGGGGAAGGGAUCUUUUGGCUGGGUUUUCUUUCAGUUCAGCUUUGAAACUGGAAGUAUCUGCAGAAUUCAGCAUUUCAGAUGUCACAUCCCAUGAAAGCUCUCACAGCAUAAUUGAUAUGGCUUAAUUGUGUGCAGCAGUAAAUGACCUUUUAAAAGGCUUUUUUCUACCCCUAAUUUCCAUUUUCCAUGGUCAUUUACAACUAUACUUACGAUAUCUUAAUUCACAGCUACUAAUGAAGCUCCAAAAUAGUAGCUUUCAAGUUCUUUUGGCUGAAUGAUUUUUAAGAUAGAUAUUAAUUCACAGAGGCAAUUCAUAUAAUAAAUGAAUAUUAAUGUCAUGUGGUAUUCCAUUUAGCAUGCAGAAGAUUUCUUCUAAUAUUUUUUACCUGAAAGCAGCAAUAAUAAAGAAACAACUAACUUAGGUAUACUUCUUUUAGGCAUCUAAGAUUUUUCUAUAAACCAUAACGUUAAUUUGAUGAACAUUUGCAUUGGAGUGUAAAGCUUCUCCAAGACUUGUUCCGGAAAUAAGACACACAGGUAUUCCUAUAUAUUUAGCAGCGUUCAAAACUGUAUGGUUGUUUUAGGAAACACUUUCUUGCUGCUUUUCUUCUUUUUAAGCAGAGGAUUAUUGUUAGGAAUUUGGCCAUGUGCCAGCUAUAUGAGGUUAUGUGGCUUAAACCAGAUACUGCUUUUCAAAAUAGGCAUGUGUAGCAGGAAAUAAUCUGUGUGCUUCAACCCAUAUGUUUAAUUUGUACUGCAAAUUAAAACAUGCUUUAAACCUACAAGAUUCUACUUAA